GUUCCAAUAGCUCAGCUGGAUAGAGCGACUGCCUCCUAAGCAGUAGGCCGGAGGUUCGAAUCCUCUUUGGGACG
rnacentral:tRNA from 3 species